rnacentral:rRNA from 1 species
GACGAACGCUGACGGCGUGCUUAACACAUGCAAGUCGAGCGAUGAAGCACCUUCGGGUGUGAAUUAGUGGCGAACGGGUGAGGAACACGUGAGAAAUCUGCCUUCAACACUGGGAUAACUCCGGGAAACCGGGGCUAAUACCGGAUAUGAAACCUGCGGGCAUCCGCGGGUUUGGAAAGUUUUUCGGUUGAAGAUGAUCUCGCGGCCUAUCAGCUUGUUGGUGAGGUAAUGGCUCACCAAGGCGACGACGGGUAGCCGGCCUGAGAGGGCGACCGGCCACACUGGGACUGAGACACGGCCCAGACUCCUACGGGAGGCAGCAGUGGGGAAUAUUGGGCAAUGGAGGAAACUCUGACCCAGCGACGCCGCGUGCGGGGUGAAGGCCUUCGGGUUGUAAACCGCUUUCAGCAGGGAAGAAGCGAAAGUGACGGUACCUGCAGAAGAAGCACCGGCUAACUAUGUGCCAGCCGCCGCCGUAA